CCUACGGGUGGCAGCAGUGGGGAAUAUUGGACAAUGGGCGAAAGCCUGAUCCAGCCAUGCCGCGUGUGUGAAGAAGGCCUUCGGGUUGUAAAGCACUUUCAGUGGGGAAGAAAGCCUUGGGGCUAAUACCCUCGAGGAAGGACAUCACCCACAGAAGAAGCACCGGCUAACUCCGUGCCAGCAGCCGCGGUAAUACGGAGGGUGCGAGCGUUAAUCGGAAUUACUGGGCGUAAAGCGCGCGUAGGCGGUCUGAUAAGCCGGUUGUGAAAGCCCCGGGCUCAACCUGGGAACGGCAUCCGGAACUGUCAGGCUAGAGUGCAGGAGAGGAAGGUAGAAUUCCCGGUGUAGCGGUGAAAUGCGUAGAGAGCGGGAGGAAUACCAGUGGCGAAGGCGGUCUUCUGGACUGACACUGACGCUGAGGUGCGAAAGCGUGGGUAGCAAACAGGAUUAGAUACCCCAGUAGUC
rnacentral:rRNA from 1 species